GAUUAUGGCUCAGGAUGAACGCUGGCGGCGCGCUUAACACAUGCAAGUCGAACGGUUAAAGCACCUCCGGGUGUGCAUAAAGUGGCGAACGGCUGAGUAACACGUGGGCAACCUGCCCCCCGCACCGGGAUAGCCUCGGGAAACCGUGGGUAAUACCGGAUACUCCGCCACCCCCGCAUGGGGAGCGGGAAAGCACUUACGGCGGGGAUGGGCCCGCGGCCUGUUAGCUCGUUGGCGGGGUAACGGCCCACCAAGGCGAUUAUGGGUAGCCGGGUUGAGAGACCGACCGGCCAGAUUGGGACUGAGACACGGCCCAGACUCCUACGGGAGGCAGCAGUGGGGAAUCUUGCACAAUGGGCGAAAGCCUGAUGCCAGCGACGCCGCGUGCGGGACGAAGGCCUUCGGGUUGUAAACCGCUUUCAGCAGGGACGAGGCGCAAGUGACGGUACCUGCAGAAGAAGCCCCGGCUAACUACGUGCCAGCCGCCGC
rnacentral:rRNA from 1 species